GUAACAAGGUCUCCGUAGGUGAACCUGCGGAGGGAUCAUUACACAAAUAUGAAGGCGGGCUGGAACCUCUCGGGGUUACAGCCUUGCUGAAUUAUUCACCCUUGUCUUUUGCGUACUUCUUGUUUCCUUGGUGGGUUCGCCCACCACUAGGACAAACAUAAACCUUUUGUAAUUGCAAUCAGCGUCAGUAACAAAUUAAUAAUUACAACUUUCAACAACGGAUCUCUUGGUUCUGGCAUCGAUGAAGAACGCAGCGAAAUGCGAUAAGUAGUGUGAAUUGCAGAAUUCAGUGAAUCAUCGAAUCUUUGAACGCACAUUGCGCCCUUUGGUAUUCCAAAGGGCAUGCCUGUUCGAGCGUCAUUUGUACCCUCAAGCUUUGCUUGGUGUUGGGCGUCUUGUCUCUAGCUUUGCUGGAGACUCGCCUUAAAGUAAUUGGCAGCCGGCCUACUGGUUUCGGAGCGCAGCACAAGUCGCACUCUCUAUCAGCAAAGGUCUAGCAUCCAUUAAGCCUUUUUUUCAACUUUUGACCUCGGAUCAGGUAGGGAUACCCGCUGAACUUAAGCAUAUC
rnacentral:misc_RNA from 1 species